UUUACUUUAUUGAUUCAAGAAAUAUCCUUACAUUGAAAUAAUUCAAGCCUGGGCCCGGCCUAAUGCCAAAUCGAGCCAACAAAACACAUAACGCAAUACUGUUUACAAAAGGCAUGAAAUCUACUCCGGCGGUCCUAAUGUCCAGCACAAAGCUAUCUGAUCAUCCUUACCUAAAGCGACCUGCAAAAAAGACAACGGAGUUGGAUGAGUAACCUAAUGUUACUCAGCGAGUUACAAUCCCCAACUAACAAAUACAACCCCUCGCUAUCCCACCUCAAACAAUCAAAAGCGAGAGGUUCACCUAAUAGCACAACUCAAUAACAUAAACAAUAUCAGAAAUACGCAGCGGUAACCGAUAGCAAGAUAACUAGCAUUAUGCUAAUUAGUAGCUCAUCACCAAACUCAACCUCAAACAAAACCAAGGUUUAACAACCCGAAACACGAUAUAAUAUAUAUAACAAACCCGGGCCCUGGUGACGUUAUGUUCCUCCUUCACUAUCGGCAAUAUCCUAUCUUCCUACCACAAAGGCCAGAAGAAGGAAGUUUCAACCGACCGCGGCCCACAGUCCUUCGGGUCACCGCGCCACAGCCCACAGUCCUUCGGGUCACUGACACAUUACACCAUCGUGUAAUCACUCAGCCAUAGGCCAUGACCCCGUCUCUCUGAGUCUUUCCGAUCCAGCGAAUAAGGGGCUUCCUUGAACCCGCCGGGUACGAGGUCUUAAGGAACACUAACUCACCCCUAAUAUGCCUAGCAUUGUGGGUAACACAAAUGAUAUCGGCCAAUAUAUGAUUAAUACUAAACCCGGUAAUAUAACACAAGGUUCCUAGUAAUAGUCACCACAAAAUUAACACAUCCACCUAAAACAUGCCUAGCAUUGUGGGUUACACAAAUGAUAUAUGGCCAAUAUAUGACUAAUAUUAAACCCGGUAAAAUAACACAAGGUUCCUAGUAUUAAUCGCCAAUUAACACAAUCAAUCAUAUUCCAGAAUCUAGCAUAAAGACUAAUUCCAUAAUACCUAACUAUCCACAACUUAACGAUAUCAUCUAAGCAUUCCGCAUUCGCUAACUAACCAAUCAAUCUAACCAUUAGCAUGCUACUAUGGUUCUCAAGCAAUAACAAGCUUGCCAUCAA
rnacentral:lncRNA from 1 species